rnacentral:rRNA from 1 species
UACGGGGGGGGCAAGCGUUGUUCGGAAUUACUGGGCGUAAAGGGCUCGUAGGCGGCCAACUAAGUCGGAUGUGAAAUCUCCCUGGCUUAACCGGGAGAGUGCAUUUGAGACUGUCAACCUGGAGGGCAGCAGAGGAGCGUGGAAUUCCGGGUGGAGUGGUGAAAUGCGUAGAGAUCCGGAGGAACACCAGAGGCGAAAGCGGCGCUCUGGGCUGCACCUGACGCUGAACUGCGAAAGCCAGGGGAGCGAACGGG